GAUGAACGCUGGCGGCGUGCCUAAUACAUGCAAGUCGAGCGAACAGACGAGGAGCUUGCUCCUCUGACGUUAGCGGCGGACGGGUGAGUAACACGUGGAUAACCUACCUAUAAGACUGGGAUAACUUCGGGAAACCGGAGCUAAUCCCGGAUAAUAUCUUGAACCGCAUGGUUCAAUAGUGAAAGACGGCUUUGCUGUCACUUAUAGAUGGAUCCGCGCCGCAUUAGCUAGUUGGUAAGGUAACGGCUUACCAAGGCAACGAUGCGUAGCCGACCUGAGAGGGUGAUCGGCGACACUGGAACUGAGACACGGUCCAGACUCCUACGGGAGGCAGCAGUAGGGAAUCUUCCACAAUGGGCGAAAGCCUGACGGAGCAACGCCGCGUGAGUGAUGAAGGUCUUCGGAUCGUAAAACUCUGUUAUUAGGGAAGAACAAAUGUGUAAGUAACUAUGCACGUCUUGACGGUACCUAAUCAGAAAGCCACGGCUAACUACGUG
rnacentral:rRNA from 1 species